rnacentral:lncRNA from 1 species
GCGGCAUACGGAGGCUCAAUGAAUUUAAAGUAGGCACCAUUGGCCUUCAGAAGACUUGAAGUCUUCUUCCACCAAAAAAACAACCAUAUAAGUGACAUAGUUUUUAAUGUCUAUGUCAUUUGGGCUCUUGUGGAGAGUUGUCUAAUUGGCAAUUAUACCACAUCUUCUUUUUUAUAUAGACCACCAAGCCUUGUUUUCAUUGAAAAUAAAUGAAACAAGCAAAUGAACUCUUUUCAAAGUUAGUUUAGUC